AGGAGGCAGCAGCUGUGACCUGGUGACAAGCUCUGAGGCCGGGGCAGAGGAGUGGAAGGCGUGAGGGUCUUCUGGGUUUGCUGAUCUCAGCCCUGGGGAUUGAAGGAGGAGGAGCCUCAGAGGGCUCUUGCUCGUCCUGGCCCCCGCAGCCAGGCUGAAUGCCUGCCCCAUGGACGUGCAUCAACCUGGCAGCCUGGGACCGUGAGUCCGUAUCACGGUCUAGCCCAGCGACCCGCUCAGCCACCUUCUCCAGACCUAACUCCGAAUUCCUAGGAGGGAGAAUCCAAUGGACUCACCCACGGAGGUGGGGCUGACGCGGAGGAGAGUGGGAAAGCCACAUGUAUGGAGCAGUCACCGUGCGCCAGGCCCAGGCCAGCGCUGGCCCUCACAGCUUCUCUCUUAGGGGCUCACAGCACCCCCGGUGAGCGUUACCUGGUCCCCAGACUUUUUUUGGGAAACUGAAGCCAAAACGGUUGAAGUUGUGCCGACUUAGGAAGUAGAAGAUCUGGAACUCAAAACCCAGGCUCCUCCGUAUCUCCAAAUGUUAUUUUCCAACUUAUUUUUUCAAGCAUCUAAAUGCUUUUACCUUUC